rnacentral:rRNA from 1 species
GACGAACGCUGGCGGCGUGCUUAACACAUGCAAGUCGAACGAUGAAGCCGGAGCUUGCUCUGGUGAAUUAGUGGCGAACGGGUGAGUAACACGUGAGUAACCUGCCCUUGACUCUGGGAUAACUGCGGGAAACUGUAGCUAAUACCGGAUACGACCCUCGGAGGCAUCUCCUGGGGGUGGAAAGAAUUUCGGUCAAGGAUGGACUCACGGCCUAUCAGCUAGUUGGUGAGGGAAAGGCUCACCAAGGCGACGACGGGUAGCCGGCCAGAGAGGGUGAGCGGCCACACUGGGACUGAGACACGGCCCAGACUCCUACGGGAGGCAGCAGUGGGGAAUAUUGCACAAUGGGCGCAAGCCUGAUGCAGCAACGCCGCGUGGGGGAUGACGGCCUUCGGGUUGUAAACCUCUUUUAGCGGGGAAGAAGCGAAAGUGACGGUACCUGCAGAAAAAGCACCGGCUAACUACGUGCCAGCCGCCGCCGUAACAC